AGAACGAACGCUGGCGGCAGGCUUAACACAUGCAAGUCGAGCGCCCCGCAAGGGGAGCGGCAGACGGGUGAGUAACGCGUGGGAAUCUACCCAGAACUACGGAAUAGCUUCGGGAAACUGGAAUUAAUACCGUAUACGCCCUACGGGGGAAAGAUUUAUCGGUUCUGGAUGAGCCCGCGUUGGAUUAGCUAGUUGGUGGGGUAAUGGCCUACCAAGGCGACGAUCCAUAGCUGGUCUGAGAGGAUGAUCAGCCACACUGGGACUGAGACACGGCCCAGACUCCUACGGGAGGCAGCAGUGGGGAAUAUUGGACAAUGGGCGAAAGCCUGAUCCAGCCAUGCCGCGUGAGUGAUGAAGGCCUUAGGGUUGUAAAGCUCUUUCAGUGGGGAAGAUAAUGACGGUACCCACAGAAGAAGCCCCGGCUAACUUCGCGCCAGCAGCCGC
rnacentral:rRNA from 1 species